rnacentral:sRNA from 1 species
GAACUCAACAGGGUGUGUUUUUGUGUCACUGGUGUCCCUGAGCCGGAGGUGAACUGUCAGGGCUGCAGCAGGCAGAAUGGCCCCGUCUGGGACUGAGCCACCUGGGAGCUGUCGGUGGGGGUUGGGGCAGCCUUCCCACCUCCACCUGGGUUUCUCUUCACACUCAGGAGGUAGAUCUGGCCUCGGAAGUGGCCUUAGAGGUGGUGUCGACAGCAGAGCCUGGCGUGUGGUUGGAGGCUGAGGCCCCGGUGGCCCUGGUGGCUCAGCCUCAGCCCCUGCCUGCCACAGCUGGUGUGAAGAGGGAGAGCGUGGGCAUGGAGGUGGCGGUGCUGACCGACGACCCGCUGCCUGUUGUGGACCAGCAGCAGGUGCUGGCCCGUCUGCAGCUGUUGGAGCAGCAGGUUGUGGGUGGAGAGCAGGCCAAGAACAAGGACCUGAAGGAGAAGCACAAGCGGCGCAAGCGCUACGCAGACGAGCGCAGGAAGCAGCUGGUGGCUGCCCUGCAGAACUCGGAUGAGGACAGUGGGGACUGGGUGCUGCUCAAUGUCUACGACUCCAUCCAGGAGGAAGUGCGGGCCAAGAGCAAGCUGCUGGAGAAGAUGCAGAGGAAGCUUCGGGCAGCAGAGGUGGAGAUCAAAGAUCUGCAGUCCGAGUUUCAGCUGGAGAAGAUUGAUUACUUGGCCACCAUCCGCCGGCAGGAGCGUGACUCCAUGCUCUUGCAGCAGCUCCUGGAGCAGGUGCAGCCCCUGAUUCGCAGGGACUGUAACUACAGCAACCUGGAGAAGAUUCGGCGUGAGUCCUGCUGGGACGAAGAUAACGGCUUCUGGAAGAUCCCACAUCCCGUCAUCACAAAAACCAGCCUCCCAGUAGUUUCAACCGGGCCACAGAACAAACCAGCCUGCAAAACCUCUGCAGCAGACAACGGCGAGCUGAACAUGGAGGAGGACCGCUACAGGCUCAUGCUCAGUCGGAGCAACAGUGAAAACAUUGCCAGCAACUACUUCCGGUCUAAGCGGGCCAGCCAGAUCCUCAGCACAGACGCCAGGAAGAGCCUCACACAUCACAACUCGCCACCAGGCCUCAGCUGCCCACUCAGCAACAACUCUGCCAUCCCACCCACCCAGGCCGCUGAAAUGCCCCAGCCCCGGCCCUUCCGCCUCGAGUCCCUCGACAUCCCUUUCACCAAGGCCAAGCGUAAGAAAAGCAAAAGCAACUUUGGCAGUGAGCCUCUGUGAGCACAGCUGCUUGCCGUUGCCUGCCUUAUAGGCAUCUAGAGACUGCCAGGCCCUCCCAGGGCAGCCCCAACCAGGCCUCCUCCCACCUGCCACACAGCACUCCGGGGCCUGAGGGCUCCCUCAGCCCUGGGAAGACACAUUCUCUUCCCUGUUCCCGAGAGCCCACCUCUGCCCUGGGCAGGAGCCCCUUGGAGGCUGUAUAGUCCUCCUUAGAGAGGCCUGCUCCAGCUGUUCACACCACAUCAGUGUUUCCGUCUGCUCACCUGCCACGGAGCCCACACCCAUGCCCACCAGUGUUGGUCUUUGCCUCAAAGCCUCAGACCUGCUUCACAGCCUUCACCAGCCCUGAUGGAGAGGGCAGCAGCUGCCACGUGAAAGAAGCUCAAUAUCAGCUGGGAAGGAACUGUGCCUCUGUCUGACUGGCCCCACUUCCUAAGAACUGCCCUGCCCCAUGGGGUGGCACAGGGGUCCCACAGCAGGUCUUCCUGCACUGCCCACCCCUGGCUGGUCUGUGGCCCAAGGAAGGCCACUCCACAUUAAGCUGCCCAAUAAACUGCUUUUAAGAUAA